AGCUCCAAUAGCGUAUAUUAAAGUUGUUGCGGUUAAAAAGCUCGUAGUUGGAUCUCGGCAGGCAGGGGGUGGUUCGCUCCUUAGCGCUACUGCCCCAUUUGCCUGUGUGAUUGGCGGAGGUUUCGGGGUGCUCUUUGUUGAGUGACCCGGGGCGCCGUCAGGUUUACUUUGAAAAAAUUAGAGUGCUCAAAGCAGGCUUUUCACGCUUGAAUAUUCGUGCAUGGAAUAAUGGAAUAGGAACUCGUUUCUAUUUUGUUGGUUUUCGGAAAUCGAGUUAAUGAUUAAUAGGGACAAUUGGGGGCAUUAGUAUUCAGACGACAGAGGUGAAAUUCUUGGACCGUCUGAAGACUAACUACUGCGAAAGCAUUUGCCAAGAGUGUUUUCAUUAAUCAAGAACGAA
rnacentral:rRNA from 1 species